rnacentral:rRNA from 1 species
GGUCGAGCAGGUACGAAAGUAGGUCAUAGUGAUCCGGUGGUUCUGAAUGGAAGGGCCAUCGCUCAACGGAUAAAAGGUACUCCGGGGAUAACAGGCUGAUACCGCCCAAGAGUUCAUAUCGACGGCGGUGUUUGGCACCUCGAUGUCGGCUCAUCACAUCCUGGGGCUGAAGUCGGUCCCAAGGGUAUGGCUGUUCGCCAUUUAAAGUGGUACGCGAGCUGGGUUCAGAACGUCGUGAGACAGUUCGGUCCCUAUCUGCCGUGGGCGUUGGAUGAUUGAAGGGAGUUGCUCCUAGUACGAGAGGACCGGAGUGAACGAACCUCUGGUGUUCGGGUUGUCACGCCAGUGGCACUGCCCGGUAGCUAAGUUCGGAAUCGAUAACCGCUGAAAGCAUCUAAGCGGGAAGCGAGCCCUGAGAUGAGUCAUCCCUGACCCCUUGAGGGUCCUAAAGGGCCGUUGGAGACCACAACGUUGAUAGGUGGGGUGUGUAAGCGCGGCGACGUGUUGAGCUAACCCAUACUAAUUACCCGUGAGGCUUAACCAUACAACACCCAAGAAGUGUUCU